UAGUAUACUGGUGAGUAUUCUCGCCUGUCACGCGGGUGACCCGGGUUCGAUCCCCGG
rnacentral:tRNA from 1 species